UAUUUAAGUUGUUGCAGUUAAAAAGCUCGUAGUUGGAUUUUGGUUAAGAGGGCGCGGUCGGCCGUUUGGUCUGUACUGCGUUGUCUUGACUUCCUGAUGAGGACAUGCUCUUGGUUAACGCUGAGACAUGGAGUCAUCGUGGUUACUUUGAAAAAAUUAGGGUGUUCAAAGCGGGCUUACGCUUGAAUAUAUUAGCAUGGAAUAGCACCAUAGGACUCCUGUCCUAUCUCGUUGGUCUCGGGAUGGGAGUAAUGAUUAAGAGGAACAGUUGGGGGCAUUCGUAUUUCAUUGUCAGAGGUGAAAUUCUUGGAUUUAUGAAAGACGAACUUCUGCGAAAGCAUUUGCCAAGGAUGUUUUCAUUAAUCAAGAACGAAAGUUGGGGGCUCGAAGAUGAUUAGAUACCAUCCUAGUCUCAACCAUAAACGAUGCCGACUAGGGAUUGGUGGAUGUUAAUUGAUGACUUCACCAGCACCUUAUGAGAAAUCAAAGUUUUUGGGUUCCGGGGGGAGUAUGGUCGCAAGGCUGAAACUUAAAGGAAUUGACGGAAGGG
rnacentral:rRNA from 1 species